CUGGCUCAGGAUGAACGCUAGCGACAGGCUAACACAUGCAAGUCGAGGGGCAGCACGGGAGUAGCAAUACAGCUGGUGGCGACCGGCGCACGGGUGAGUAACGCGUAUGCAACCUACCUAUCAGAGGGGAAUAACCCGGCGAAAGUCGGACUAAUACCGCAUAAAACAGGGGCACCGCAUGGUGAUAUUUGUUAAAGAAAUUCGCUGAUAGAUGGGCAUGCGUUCCAUUAGGUAGUUGGUGAGGUAACGGCUCACCAAGCCGACGAUGGAUAGGGGAACUGAGAGGUUGGUCCCCCACACUGGUACUGAGACACGGACCAGACUCCUACGGGAGGCAGCAGUGAGGAAUAUUGGUCAAUGGGCGAGAGCCUGAACCAGCCAAGUCGCGUGAAGGAAGAAGGAUCUAUGGUUCGUAAACUUCUUUUGCAGGGGAAUAAAGUGCAGGACGUGUCCUGUUUUGUAUGUACCCUGAGAAUAAGGAUCGGCUAACUCCGUGCCAGCCGCCGC
rnacentral:rRNA from 1 species